GUGCGAGACCGAUAGCGAACAAGUACCGUGAGGGAAAGAUGAAAAGAACUUUGAAAAGAGAGUUAAAGAGUACCUGAAACUGCUGAAAGGGAACCGAAUCGUUUCCAGUGUCUAUAAUCCGUGGUAUAUUUCAUUGGCGAGUGUGUGCGUGCGUGUGCUGUGGCAGCGGCUUUUUUGGCUGCGCUCGGCGUGUGUGCUGUGUGUGCUUGCUGGUGCCCUGUGCUGCGGUGGGACGUCAAGGUCAGUUCGUAUGCUGCGGGAAAUGGCCGCCGAGGAGGUAGGGCUUACGCUUGCGUUUGUCUGCUAUAUCUUGGUGGACGAGUAGUCGCGGUUGGGACUGAGGUGCCUACAACGUGUUUUUGAGUGGGCCUGUGUCUCUGUGUGCGCCGUGUGCGGAUAGCUUGCUAUGCGUGUGUGGUUGUGUGUGGAUUGAUGUGGGUUUUAACUUGUUGCUGUUCGGGACUUUGAA
rnacentral:rRNA from 1 species